GAUUUCAAUCACUAUAAAAAUCAAAAUUUUCAAAAACAUCAAAGUGCAAGUUUUUUAAUUUAAAUUGUUCAAACUUUUGCCGAAAAUAAAGCCAGUGCCAAUAAAAAUCAAGAUAUCCACGUACAUUACCAUUAAAACGUGGUGACGCAAUAAUUGCGAAUUUUUCGAGUGUGCAAAGAAGAAAUAUUGUAAAGAAAACACUAAACUUGAUGACGAGAAUCUCCUCCAAAUCCAAGUAAGAAGCCAUAGAUGCUUGCGGCAUACUCUACCAACUACAAGCUGUACGUUUUCGGUGAUCCACUCCGGUGAGAUUCCCAACAUGACGAGCCCAUUAAUUUAUUUUGCCAAGGUUUGUCUUCAGUAAACGCCUUCUCAUCAUCCGCCUGUGUUCCAAAAGACACCACCAUAAGGUUUGACCAGACCGUCAUGCCACCGAAACGGGUACACGUCAGACCAAAACCAUGUGGAUUCCUAAAAUCGUCAUAAAAGUUCUUGCUUGAAACCUACAUAAUAACUACUAUAACCUGAAUUUGUUGUCAACAUUUGAUGAAAUUACCCUUGUUCACUAACAUUUUCUUCAAAUCACGAUGUUCCCCCUAAUAAACAAAUUCGCAUUUAAA